AACAGCGAUAACAAUGAUGAUCAGGUUGCUGAGGAUACUAGAAAAGAUUCGGUUUUCUCGCCGGUAAAAUCUAAAACGCAAAAAUCAAACGCAUCUUCCGCAGAGGAUGAUGGGAAACACUCUUUACCCGAGGAGGUUGAUUCGGACGAUCAGGAAAUCGAAAAAUUGCAACAUGAGUUGGAAACUCUAGAAAAAGACGAAGCAAAACUCAAGAAAAUUAAACAGAAAGAAGAAUUACGCCAGAAAGUGGUGAGGAAAAGAGACGAGGUCAAGGCUCUAAGAGGCUAUUUUUAUCUUAUCUACUGUAAGAAAUACGGUGGGCACAAUAACUCACUUACAGUAAAAGAAGAUGGGGCGCAAAUACUAGUAAGUGGUCGCAAAUGGAAGGCGGGG